rnacentral:snRNA from 1 species
AAAAAUACCUGUCAGGGAGAUACCAUAAUCACAAAGGUGGUUUUCCCAGUGCAAGGCAGUCUAGCUGUGUUGACCCCUGCAAUUUCCCCAAAUACAGCAAACUCAACUGCAUAAUUUGUGAUAGUAGGGGGAAAUUUUCAA